GUGGCCGGGAGCCGCUUCGCUGAUCGCGACACCCUGCUCCGAUCAGUCAGUAAAAGCCCGCUGCCGUUCUUCUCGUGCGCCGCGUCCACUCGUCCCCUUUCAAAACAACAUUGAUAACUUAUCACAGUGUUCCGGGUUUUGGCGCCCCGAUUUUCAAAAAAAUUAAUUGUACGCUCAUUUUCUGAGAAUUGAACUUUACUCCGUUUUAAACGCGUAUGUGUGCGGAUAUUCGGAAUCAUACACAAUCCGUUUCUUGAAAGUUUGUUUGGGUUUCAAGUGCGGCAGAGAUUCAACCCGGAUCUCAGUUUUCUAUCGAGGGCAGUUUUGUGAAAUUUACUUGAUUGCCAAAUCAUUGCCGGAUUUCUAGUGCUUCUGAAGUAGACUGGGUCUAUACUUUAUGCCAUUGGUAGUUCGACAUCACUUCUACUAGUGCGCGAUUAUUUAAGUGUUUGAAAUUAGUUGCUCCUCGGAAUCCUGACUUUUCCUUCGUGUUUCUUGUGCUGAAGUGCAGUUUCUUUCCUAAACGACUUUCGGUCUUUCCACCAUGACGUAUCGACGUCAACCAAGUUCGUUUCAUGGCUCCUAAAUUUUCCGUGGCCCCCAAAUCGCUUCACAAUUCCACAUGCUAGCACCCUCCAAGCCCGAAGCAGUUAGUAUGACCGUGUUAAACCUAAACCAACGUCUGAACCAGAGUUUCCAGCCGCCGAUGAAACCCAAAGACAUGGACGAGCCGGAAUCCAAGGCGGAAGAACUGCGAAACUCGGACCUCCUCCGCAACUCGGACCUUCUUCGCAACUCCCGCAAGUCAGGCGGCCUCAACAACAACGGCUCAGGCAGCCCCAACUCCCGUUCCGGUAUCAGCUUUAGCGUCGACUCCCUUCUAGCCGAUACGAGGCCGAAGAAACUCGACUCGGAAAACGAACGGCUGGAGGACCUACGCUCCCGUCUCUAUCUGGAUAACUUGAAGGAGCCACGUUCGCCCUCGAGGUCGUACCUAGACAAUUUGAAGGGUUCGCAAUCGCCCUCCAGAACGAGGCUCUCGCCGAUGGAGUCGGAAGAAGACCUCAAGGCGGAGGAUGGCGAGGACAUCGACAUGGAGUCCGGCCUGGAAGACGAAGACGAGGGUAGUUUAGUCGACGUGGAAGCUCUGAGGGACGAAUCCCUGCGGAAUUCGGCCAACUCGCCGGAGGACAAUUCAAGGGGCUCUUCGCCCGCGGGUCUCCACUCCUUUCAGCCGGGUUCCAAUUCGGCCAACCUCAUGGCCGCAGCCAGGCUCAUGUUCGGGCCCCACUCGACGACCCCAUCAGGCCGACCCCCUAUAAUUCCGCCCUGGCCGUCGCUGCUGCGGCCUACGCUGGCGUCCACCAGCACCCCUCAUGGCCUGGCCACUACCCCGGAUCUCAGAUGUUCUCCGGAUUUGGAUCGGCGCUCGCCGGGUCUCCAGAUUCGAAUAACGGAGAGCCACCAAAACUGA
rnacentral:lncRNA from 1 species